GCAUCAGUAGUGUAAUGGUUGACGUGUGGUCUUCCCAAGUACAUGUCGGUUACGUUUGGGGUUCGAACCCCAAUUGGUGCA
rnacentral:tRNA from 1 species